rnacentral:tRNA from 1 species
GAGGGUGUGGCUCAGUGGCAGAGUGCUUGCCUAGCAUGUGUGAGGCCCUGGGUUCCAUCUCCAGCACUGUCC